rnacentral:rRNA from 1 species
AACGAACGCUGGCGGCAGGCCUAACACAUGCAAGUCGAGCGAGGACUUCGGUUCUAGCGGCGGACGGGUGAGUAACGCGUGGGAAUGUGCCCUUCUCUACGGAAUAGCCCUGGGAAACUGGGAGUAAUACCGUAUACGCCCUAUUGGGGAAAGAUUUAUCGGAGAAGGAUCAGCCCGCGUUAGAUUAGGUAGUUGGUGGGGUAAUGGCCUACCAAGCCGACGAUCCAUAGCUGGUUUGAGAGGAUGAUCAGCCACACUGGGACUGAGACACGGCCCAGACUCCUACGGGAGGCAGCAGUGGGGAAUCUUAGACAAUGGGGGCAACCCUGAUCUAGCCAUGCCGCGUGAGUGAUGAAGGCCUUAGGGUUGUAAAGCUCUUUCAGCUGGGAAGAUAAUGACGGUACCAGCAGAAGAAGCCCCGGCUAACUCCGUG